rnacentral:lncRNA from 1 species
AACCUACCUUCACCCUCAUCCUCACCCUCAUACUCCUCAACCUCAUCUUCCAGCCUGCUUCGUGCCCACCCUGUGCUGCCCCCUCACCUACCCAGCCUGAAUCUCAGCUCACACGUACAGACACUCGCACAAGCUGUACCUGCCCCCUGUUCCGCCCAGGGGGAACUUUCCCUCUCACCAUCUCUCCUCCCACAUCGCUCCCCCGGGAAGGAGCCGCUCCCUGCCCCUUCGGUCCCAAAGACUCCGUAUAGUGUCACAAUCUGCAUAUAAACCACCGGGAAUAAGCGACAGGAGAGCCACUCUCUCAGCGGUGCUGGCGGGCUCAGUCGUGCACAAACACAUGUCCACUCUGCUGAGCCGGGGAGAAAAAACUGUAUUUUCCUGACCGGUGCAACCAAGAAAGCAGCGAGGGCAGUGGGGAGGAAGGAGAUGAGUAAUUCUGCUAAGGGGAAAAAAAAAAAAAAAACAAAAAAAACCCCACCCAAACCAACCACUUUCCACCUGCAUUUAGGGGCAGCCUGGAUGACUACGCAGUACUCCAACCUACAGGUCCUUCGGCGCUAAAAGAGCCCCUCUGUGUGUGUGAGUAUGAGUGUGAGUGUGUGUGAGUGAGAGAGUGUCCCCAGCCGUGCCUGGGGACACUGUGUCUCCUUGCCUUUUCCCAUGGCAUUUGAGGAUAGGAAAAGAUCUGUGGGUCGAGGGAGCCUUUUUCUGUCCACCUCCCACCACUGCCGCCUCCUCGGGGGUGAAAAAAUUAAACAAGGCGAUGGGGGCUGAGGACUUGUGCACAGUGAGUGGAAAAAAUGUGUUAAACAUCAGUUUGACGCCCCAUCGGAGCUUCAAAAUAUACAUCGCCUGGAUUUCUUCUACUUAAUUUAAUCCUUAUUCGACUGUGUUUCUUCUUGCCACCUAUUUACUAGAAGUCCCAGCAAAACGUACCUCGGGAGAGAAGGAGGGGGGUGACACACGAUGGAGGGGGGAGGACUUCAUUUGAACCUCUAGACUUAAGCAGGUAUUUAGCAGGGAGACACUCCAAAGAGUUUGAAGUAAGUCUCUUAAGUCAUGACUUCUACCCAGGACUUGAGCUGCUCCUGGAGUGGAAAAGAUUUGUGUGUCGGGAUGGGAACUUGUAGCCUUAGCAACAAAGUAGUCACAUGAAGGAAUUUUCAGCAAAAGUAUCCCAGACUGAGAAAGAAACGCCAAUUUCUGAGCUGCUAGGAAGGAAGAGAUAGUGCCCUGGAUUGAGCCUAUAGAACGCAACUUUUUCUAUUUGACAGAAGCCCCCAAGUUUGCCCACCUGGUUUUUUUUUCCCCCUUAAUGCAUACCAAAUCCAAACACACCCACCCCC